rnacentral:rRNA from 1 species
CCCCUAGAUGUUCUGGGCCGCACGCGCGCUACACUGAACAGUUCAACAAGUCUUAACCUUGGCCGAUAGGUCUGGGUAAUCUUUGAACGCUGUUCGUGAUUGGGAUAGACCUUUGCAAUUAUGGGUCUUCAACGAGGAAUUCCUAGUAAACGCAAGUCAUCAGCUUGCAUUGAUUACGUCCCUGCCCUUUGUACACACCACCCGUCGCACCUACCGAUUGAAUGGUCCGGUGAAAUCUCGGGACGGCGGCUUGGUCGCUUGCGUCCGACUGCUGAAACUUGAUUAAACCAUAUCAUUUAGAGGAAGGUGAANUCGUANCA